UACGAAGGGAGCUAGCGUUACUCGGAAUUACUGGGCGUAAAGCGUAUGUAGGCGGAAUUUCAAGUCAGGGGUGAAAUCCCGGGGCUCAACCCCGGAAUUGCCUUUGAAACUGUAAUUCUUGAGAUUGACAGAGGAUGGUGGAAUUUCCAGUGUAGAGGUGAAAUUCGUAGAUAUUGGAAAGAACACCGGUGGCGAAGGCGACCAUCUGGGUCAAUACUGACGCUGAGAUACGAAAGCGUGGGGAGCAAACGGG
rnacentral:rRNA from 1 species